rnacentral:rRNA from 1 species
AGGGCGCACGGUGGAUGCCUUGGCACUAGAAGCCGAUGAAGGACGUGACUAACGACGAAAUGCUUUGGGGAGCUGUAAGUGAGCAAUGAUCCAGAGAUGUCCGAAUGGGGGAACCCGGCAGGUAAUGCCUGUCACUCAUUACUGUUAAGGUAAUGUAGAGGAAGACGCAGUGAACUGAAACAUCUAAGUAGCUGCAGGAAGAGAAAGCAAAAGCGAUUGCCUUAGUAGCGGCGAGCGAAACGGCAAGAGGGCAAACCGAAGAGUUUACUCUUCGGGGUUGUAGGACUGCAACGUGGACUUAAAGAUUAUAGAAGAACUACCUGGGAAGGUAGGCCAAAGAGAGUAAUAGCCUCGUAUUCGAAAUAGUCUUUAUACCUAGCAGUAUCCUGAGUACGGCGAGACACGAGAAAUCUCGUCGGAAUCUGGGAGGACCAUCUCCCAACCCUAAAUACUCUCUAGUGACCGAUAGUGAACCAGUACCGUGAGGGAAAGGUGAAAAGCACCCCGGGAGGGGAGUGAAAUAGAACCUGAAACCGUGUGCCUACAACAAGUUCGAGCCCGUUAAUGGGUGAGAGCGUGCCUUUUGUAGAAUGAACCGGCGAGUUACGAUAUGAUGCGAGGUUAAGUUGAAGAGACGGAGCCGUAGGGAAACCGAGUCUGAAUAGGGCGCAUUAGUAUUAUGUCGUAGACCCGAAACCAUGUGACCUACCCAUGAGCAGGUUGAAGGUGAGGUAAAACUCACUGGAGGACCGAACCAGGGCACGUUGAAAAGUGCUUGGAUGACUUGUGGGUAGCGGAGAAAUUCCAAACGAACUUGGAGAUAGCUGGUUCUCUCCGAAAUAGCUUUAGGGCUAGCGUCGAUGUUAAGUCUCUUGGAGGUAGAGCACUGUUUGGGUGAGGGGUCCAUCCCGGAUUACCAAUCUCAGAUAAACUCCGAAUGCCAAUGAGAUAUAAUCGGCAGUCAGACUGCGAGUGCUAAGAUCCGUAGUCGAAAGGGAAACAGCCCAGACCACCAGCUAAGGUCCCAAAAUAUAUGUUAAGUGGAAAAGGAUGUGGGGUUGCACAGACAACUAGGAUGUUAGCUUAGAAGCAGCUAUUCAUUCAAAGAGUGCGUAAUAGCUCACUAGUCGAGUGACCCUGCGCCGAAAAUGUACCGGGGCUAAAACAUAUUACCGAAGCUGUGGAUACCUUUAUAGGUAUGGUAGGAGAGCGUUCUAUGUGCGAAGAAGGUGUACCGUGAGGAGUGCUGGAGCGCAUAGAAGUGAGAAUGCCGGUAUGAGUAGCGAAAGACAGGUGAGAAUCCUGUCCACCGUAAGACUAAGGUUUCCAGGGGAAGGCUCGUCCGCCCUGGGUUAGUCGGGACCUAAGGAGAGACCGAAAGGUGUAUCCGAUGGACAACAGGUUGAUAUUCCUGUACUAGAGUAUAUAGUGAUGGAGGGACGCAGUAGGCUAACUAAACCAGACGAUUGGAAGUGUCUGGCCAAGCAGUGAGGUGUGAUAUGAGUCAAAUGCUUAUAUCUUUAACAUUGAGCUGUGAUGGGGAGCGAAGUUUAGUAGCGAAGUUAGUGAUGUCACACUGCCGAGAAAAGCUUCUAGCGUUAAUUAUACUCUACCCGUACCGCAAACCGACACAGGUAGUCGAGGCGAGUAGCCUCAGGUGAGCGAGAGAACUCUCGUUAAGGAACUCGGCAAAAUGGCCCCGUAACUUCGGGAGAAGGGGCGCUGACUGAUGGUCAGCCGCAGUGAAUAGGCCCAAGCAACUGUUUAUCAAAAACACAGCUCUCUGCUAAAUCGUAAGAUGAUGUAUAGGGGGUGACGCCUGCCCGGUGCUGGAAGGUUAAGAGGAGUGCUUAGCGUAAGCGAAGGUAUGAAUUGAAGCCCCAGUAAACGGCGGCCGUAACUAUAACGGUCCUAAGGUAGCGAAAUUCCUUGUCGGGUAAGUUCCGACCCGCACGAAAGGCGUAAUGAUUUGGGCACUGUCUCAACGAGAGACUCGGUGAAAUUUUAGUACCUGUGAAGAUGCAGGUUACCCGCGACAGGACGGAAAGACCCCAUGGAGCUUUACUGUAGUUUGAUAUUGAGUACCUGUAAGUCAUGUACAGGAUAGGUAGGAGCCAUUGAAAUAGGGACGCUAGUUUCUAUUGAGGCGUUGUUGGGAUACUACCCUUGACUUAUGGUUACUCUAACCCGCUGGCAUAAUCGGCCAGGGAGACAGUGUCUGACGGACAGUUUGACUGGGGCGGUCGCCUCCUAAAGAGUAACGGAGGCGCUCAAAGGUUGGCUCAGAUUGGUUGGAAAUCAAUCGUAGAGUGUAAAGGUAAAAGCCAGCUUGACUGCGAGAGCUACAACUCGAGCAGGUAGGAAACUAGGACUUAGUGAUCCGGUGGUACCGCAUGGAAGGGCCAUCGCUCAACGGAUAAAAGCUACCCUGGGGAUAACAGGCUUAUCUCCCCCAAGAGUUCACAUCGACGGGGAGGUUUGGCACCUCGAUGUCGGCUCAUCGCAUCCUGG